UCUGGGCAAUUUACCUAACCUUUUACCCUUCUGAAACUGGAGAUGAUCAUAGAACCUGUCUCAUAGGGUGCUUGUGAAGGUUAAAUGGGUCAAUAAAGAAAAAUACGAGGAGUCAGCACUCAGUAAUACCAGCUAUUAUUAUGAGUGCAGGUGGCAAGUGCUCAAGAUAGCCGUGGCAGUGGCAGCCGAGUAGGGGUCCUAACCCAGCCUGGGAGCCCCAGGGGUGGCUUCCUACCGGAGGCCAUGCUGAUGGAAUCUUAGGAAGUAGCAGUUAGCCAAGGGAAGAGGGAACAGCAGCAGCAAAGGCACAGAGGUGAAAAAUAGCAGGGGUGGGGGUGAGGAGGGGUUGUCGGGGAGACUUACAAAGCCCCUCAGUGUUCCUGGAGAGUGUAGAAAAGCUUGGCUUUUGGUCAGAGGGCACGGAGACAGGAGCCACUGAAGGGUUUUGAACAGAGGCAUGACCCGUCCCUUGUUUUCCUAGAGACCACUGCAGCUGCCAUAUAUGCAGUGGCUUGGAGGGGCCCGUGGUCCUUUUAGGAGACGGUGAGGCUUCAACAAGGGGAGAUACAACGUCAGGGAAGAUGGGGACAGAUUCAUGGCUAUUAAGGAAGUAGACAUGGCAGGAUGGUGACCUGUGGGCUGGAAGUGGCUGGAAAGGGCAGAGUCAAGGACCGACAUGGGCACUUGGGUGGCUGGCUUGAGCACUGAGAGUGUGGCAGGGCCAGAAGAGGGGCAGGUCUGGGGGGGGGGGGAGGUGCUACCCAGCUUGAGAACACUUGAGUUUGGAGCUGAGAGACAGAGACCUGGGCUGGAGAGACCAUCAUGGGGACAUCAGUGCCUGGAUGGUAACAAAUCCUGCCAGGGUCUGAGAGCUGCCCCAGCAUCAGCAGAGGGUGGGGGCCCCUCACCAGGCCAGAGAAGAGGAUUUAUGCUUUGCGAUUGGAUUCUAAGCUUCAUUUUCCUGGAACCAAGUAGAAUUUGUCCGGACUUCUGACCCAAAUUGCUCCGGACAAGUGGGGACCACACCGCCUGCUGUAACCUCGUAAGGCUGGAGAAGUCUGAAGCCAGAAAGGGCCUGAGCAUCUUCUGCGAGGAAUCCGUCCAGCCCGCCAGAGACAACCUGCAGUCAGUCCCCCACUCCCUUGAGUGUUAAGUGUUCACCCUAAGUGCAAGGUGGGGACAUGUGAGUGUAGGUGGAACAGACCCCAGGAGACCUGGGUCCAAGGACACACCAACAUGGGGGACUUUGUUCAGCCUUAGAGCUCCCAUAAUCUCCUCCAGACCCCCAGGGCCACCCCCAAGGAAACAGCUUGAGGGAGAACCGCGUGGUGCUCGCUGGCUUCAGGACAAAGCUAUACCACCACCCCUGUUCCGGCCCCCUCUCAACCAGCGGGUUCACAAGAUGGGGAUGUCCCAGCAGGCUCUUCCAGUGCUAGGACAGGGCCUUCCCCAGGCCCACUUCUGGUCUCAUCUGAAUGAUUUGGUGUAAGGAACAGGGGAUGGUUCCUUCUCGGAUAGGUAAUCCAGGGUUCUAGAGGAUGAGACGACAGUGCUGUGAGCCUCCAGAAAUGAAUUCCUGCCUCUGGACAGGAAUCUGAAGAUACAUCAGGCUCUCUCACUCUGCCUCCUUCUGGGCUCUUCUCUGUCCCCUCUCCUGCUUCCUUCCUUCUCCUGCUCUCUGUCUCUCCCAGCCCCUGCUGAACUAGCUUCCCAGGCCUAUCAAUCAGGCCUGAUCUGACCUCAAGACCAAAGAGCCAAGAAGAGGAGGGAGGCAGGGAAGAAGAAAGGAGGGAAGAGGACAAUUCACCUGCCCGGAGACCUGCUCCAGACUCUUGGAGCUAAAAAGGUCGCAGAAAGCCUAACCAACUUCCUCUGCUCCACGCCACCUGCUUUGCUGAACUGUGUUUCAACAUCACCAUCAGCUGAUUACCUCUACCUUCAGAGCUUGUACACCUCCAGACAUAGGGAGCUCACUAUCUUGAGAAAGUUCUUCAGCUAAACAUGAAGAUUCUAUAAGUAAUACAGCGGCUCUUGUCUUUCUCUGUGUCACUGCUCAUCUAGUCAUUCAUUCAUUUAUAUUUUCAUUCAUUCAAUACUACUUAUUGAGCCUCCACUAAAUGAAGCAGAAAACUCAUGGCCCAGCAUUGGAGCAAAAUCAUAACUCUAAAGGGACUGUGCUAGGAGUUGGGGUUACAGCCACGAAGAGUGCAGUCACAGGCUUGUGCAGCCAUGGUCCUGACCUUGUGGAGCUUAUGGUCUAGUAGGGGAAGGGGAGAAGCCACUGAUGAGUGGGAAUCAGCGCUCUGAAGAAAAAUCUGGAUUUUCUCUUCUAAGCAAUGGGAGACACUGAUGGACAUUGAUAGCUGAAACUUUUUAAUGUGUUUUUUUUUUUUUUAAUUGUGGGAUAGCUUACAAAUAGUAGAUUGCCCAGAUCUUAAGUGUAUUGCUUAAUGAAUUAUAACCACCACUCAGAUCAAGACUCAAAACAUUUCCAGGGCCCGGAAGGCUCUUUCAUGCCCCCACCCAGCCGUACCCCCGCAUAAAGUAACCGCUAUGUUGAUUUUUAUCACCAUGUAUUCAUUUUGCCUGUUUUUGAAUGCCAUAUAAAUAGAAUCUUAUAGUA